AACGCGAAGAACCUUACCCAGGUUUGACAUGCAGUGGACAGGUACAGAGAUGUACCCUCUCUUCGGAGCCGCUGCACAGGUGCUGCAUGGCUGUCGUCAGCUCGUGCCGUGAGGUGUUGGGUUAAGUCCCGCAACGAGCGCAACCCUUAUCAUUAGUUGCCAGCACGUAAAGGUGGGAACUCUAGUGAGACUGCCCGGGUUAACCGGGAGGAAGGUGAGGAUGACGUCAAGUCCGCAUGGCCCUUAUAUCUGGGGCUACACACGUUCUACAAUGGUCGGUACAGAAGGCAGCGAAACCGCAAGGUGGAGCAAAUCCCCAAAGCCGAUCCCAGUUCAGAUUGUAGUCUGCAACUCGACUACAUGAAGUUGGAAUUGCUAGUAAUGGCGAGUCAGCUACAUCGCCGUGAAUACGUUCCCGGGCCUUGUACACACCGAGUAUA
rnacentral:rRNA from 1 species